CAGUCCACUCAGUCUACCUCAGUGGGACCUUCUGGAUGAUGGAUGCCCUUACCAGGAUGACCGUUACCUGACUACAUUGGUUCCAGUGACUGGAUCAUCUGGUCUUCACUUCCCAACCCACUACAAGCGCUUUAUUGUGAAGAUGUUCACAUUUGUGGAUCCAGCGUCACUGG